CCUACGGGAGGCAGCAGUAGGGAAUAUUGGGCAAUGGGCGAGAGCCUGACCCAGCCAUGCCGCGUGCCGGAUGAAGGCCUUCUGGGUUGUAAACGGCUUUUCUCAGGGAAGAAAAAGCCCAUACGUGGGACACUGACGGUACCUGAGGAAUAAGCACCGGCUAACUCCGUGCCAGCAGCCGCGGUAAUACGGAGGGUGCAAGCGUUGUCCGGAUUUAUUGGGUUUAAAGGGUGCGUAGGCGGCCCGUUAAGUCCGGGGUGAAAGCCCACAGCUCAACUGUGGAACUGCCCUGGAUACUGGCGGGCUUGAGUCCAGACGAGGUUGGCGGAAUGGAUGGUGUAGCGGUGAAAUGCAUAGAUACCAUCCAGAACCCCGAUUGCGUAGGCAGCUGACUAGGCUGGUACUGACGCUGAGGCACGAAAGCGUGGGGAGCGAACAGGAUUAGAUACCCUGGUAGUCCACGCCGUAAACGAUGGAUACUCGCUGGUGGCGAUAGACAGUCACUGGCUUAGCGAAAGCGGUAAGUAUCCCACCUGGGGAGUACGCUCGCAAGAGUGAAACUUCAAAGGAAUUGACGGCNGNGAGNGCGAGCGACACGAGGAGAGG
rnacentral:rRNA from 1 species